CAUCGGCGGGUGAAAUCACACAGGCCAACCCCACCGCCCUGCCCAUCCCCGAGCUCACACUCACCAGCAGAACUGGCUGAAUGUUGUUGAUUUCCUGACCCAAGUGGAUGCGGAUCAGCGGAAAGGCCCCGACAACUCCUUCUCUGCCAGACCAAGGUGUCAGGCGUCCUUGAAGUGAUGCUUUGAAAAUCAAUGUUUGAUGUUGCAGAAUAGCAAAUCUGAUUUGACUGGCUAACGUGAUUUGCUUGAGCUUAGAUAGAGAGCAACAGCUCAUGUUCAUCUCAGCUUCUGAAGCCACAGACGAAAGCAAAUUUCAGCCAAAUGAACCCCGACUUUUGGCACAGAGCUAAUCAUAGAGUGCUAAUACAUGGCCUUACAUUGAUGCUCUUUAAGGUUUGAUCCCUAUCUAAUAGUUUCGACAUGAUCAAACUUUUUGCAUUUGAUGAAGAAGAUGUGCUCUAGAUCGUUUUUAUAGCUA
rnacentral:lncRNA from 1 species